UUCUGCAGCAAAAUGUACUUGUUAGGAUGUCAUACACAAUAUUUACUAGAUGCCCAGUGUCUUUCUGGUUGUCAACAAGUACUACAUACUCUAUACAGUUCACUAGGUAUCAUUUAAAACUCUAUUCAGAAAUUAUAAACACAAUGAAUGUAAAGGUCUACAGGCACAUUGAAUACCGGAUGUUAUCGAAAGUUCAGCCAUCUAACAUUAAGGUGGACAAAUACUGAAUUUAGUAACCUAACUAAGCGGUUGACAGACAUCAAUUCUAUAGAGAUUAAAAAGUGGACAUUUUCUUACUUUAAAAGUGUGGGUUCUAACUUCUAAGACAUAUAUAUUCUAUUUUGGUUUUCUUAUUUUUGCAUUUUCCUGGUUUUUUCACUCUUAACUUGUAUGUUCUUUUUUUAUAAUCGCUCUGCAAUCUAGAAUAAUAUUAAUAUUUCCUUGAAUUGGAUUAUGUUAUCUGGUUAAUUUUCGAGCAUUAGAGGUCAAAUUCACAAGUACUUGAAUUUGCUCUUGUGAAGAUCUAUCAAGAUGUGAAUGCGGAUAUGGUGUCUGUCAUGAAUAUGAUCUGUAUAUAUAAGUUAAUUUUGUACAGAACGUUUCGAGCGUGGAUACCAAAUAUUUGCUUGAGAGCAACAUUUGCCCAAAGUUGAAGCCAUUAAACAUGCUUUGAAUACAGUAUUCCUCACUGCUGCUCUUUGCGAUCCUACAGUUAACAAAUGCAACUCUCCCGUCAUCGGACUAAAAGAGGUCAUGGAACAAAAAAUAUCCAGUGAUCAUCGGACAAACAAAGAGACAAUCUUGAAUAAUUCGUGUACCCCUAAUUCUGACUUCACUUCAGACUAUCAUUCUUUUUCCGGGAAUUUGAAUACCAUGUCAGAGCCACAACCUUUCGACAAUUCCGGUUAUGAAGAGUCUUCAAAUCAAAAUGUGUAUUUGUUGGACAGGAAUGGAAAAAAUAGUUGCAGCUGGAUAUGUGGUGACCGGUUUGGAAGGUGAAGUCUACCACCACAUAAUUGUCCAAAAGAACGAGAGAAAAGUUAACAUAGAAUGCGUGUACGAUGAUUUUGCACUAAUUUGGGACCCUCCUCAAGGGGAUGACUACUAUAAGCUAUCUCCUUCUGUUGCUGGUGGUUGGAUAGUAUGGCAUAAAAAGCAUUUGCAAUUUAAAAAUUUAACUUUGUUUACCUUGUUACAUAGUAGUACUAUUAGAUAGAGUUUAGUGUUUUAGUUUAUGGUUUUUUGUUAGUUUUCAUUGUUUAAACAAUUCUUUUAAGAGUGUUGAGGAUAUUAGUUGAUGUUUGAACAAUUUUUUUACUAAUUUAAUUUCUAUUAAAUUU